rnacentral:rRNA from 1 species
GACGAACGCUGGCGGCGUGCUUAACACAUGCAAGUCGAACGCUGAAGCACCAGCUUGCUGGUGUGGAUGAGUGGCGAACGGGUGAGUAACACGUGAGUAACCUGCCCUUGACUCUGGGAUAAGCCCGGGCAACUGGGGCUAAUACUGGAUGCUACAUGUCACCGCAUGGUGGUGUGUGGAAAUGGUUUACUGGUCUUGGAUGGGCUCACGGCCUAUCAGCUUGUUGGUGAGGUAAUGGCUCACCAAGGCGACGACGGGUAGCCGGCCUGAGAGGGUGACCGGCCACACUGGGACUGAGACACGGCCCAGACGCCUACGGGAGGCAGCAGUGGGGAAUAUUGCACAAUGGGCGAAAGCCUGAUGCAGCGACGCCGCGUGAGGGAUGACGGCCUUCGGGUUGUAAACCUCUUUCAGCAGGGAAGAAGCCACAAGUGACGGUACCUGCAGAAGAAGCGCCGGCUAACUACGUGCCAGCAGCCGCAGUAA